rnacentral:rRNA from 1 species
UACGGAGGGAGCUAGCGUUGUUCGGAAUUACUGGGCGUAAAGGGCGCGUAGGCGGCACGACAAGUCGGGAGUGAAAGCCCGGGGCUCAACCCCGGAAUGUCUCUCGAAACUGUCGAGCUAGAGUGCAGAAGAGGCAACUGGAAUUCCCAGUGUAGCGGUGAAAUGCGUAGAUAUUGGGAAGAACACCUGAGGCGAAGGCGGGUUGCUGGGCUGGCACUGACGCUGAGGCGCGAAAGCCAGGGGAGCGAACGGG